rnacentral:lncRNA from 1 species
GUGGACCUUUGACAAAGGUGGUAAAUGCAAAUUAUGAUCUAAUAAAGAAGAAGCCGAAUGAGGUAAUGUGAGUGUAAUGUAACUGGGGGCUAAGGCAGGAGGCUCACGAGUUUGAAGCCAGCUUGCAAGGCAUAGCAAGCUUCAAGGCAGCUCUUGAUAUGUCACACUCUGCUGACCGUGAAGGUCCCAAGACUCUGGAAAAUCUGGAAAAGGGUCAGAUAUUGCUAUAUCUUUGAGAGAUUACAGAAGAAGAAAUUGAUACCCAAAGUAGUGACCAUGUAGCCAUUGGGCCAGGAAUGCUUGCACAGUUAGAAUGCAGGUCAAUGGGAAAUUUCCAUUUGGACAUACUUGGGUCUCUUCCAGUCUUCUUCCCCAGAAAGGUUGUGUCAAGACUCCGUGGGUUCACAGAACACUGAGGCAGUAGGAGAUGCUGCCUACGGUUCCUGCUGUGGAGAUGCUCAAUAGCCCAACCUACACACCCUGUGGGUGGGCUCCCUGCUGCUCCUGUACUGUGGGGACACAGGAGCUUUGGUGAAGUUGGGAGCCCCAGUUAAAGAUUUAACUCUGGGAGCUGUUAGAAACGGGAUAUUAUCUCUGCUGUUAUGGGCCCCAAACUCUCUCUUCUGUAACUCUGAUCUGGAAAUGAAAACCAAAUGGUCUUGCUUCUCCUCUGAGGC